GCUGAGCCUACAGAGAUGCUCUUACAUUUUAAACCACUAGUUCCAGGAGUUUGUGACUGCUGCAGGAAUGACAUUUAAAGACACGCAGAGUUCCUAAAAUCAAGAUUCAGUCUCUGAAGGUGUAAAUCCUCACUUCUAUUUGACAGAACUCCAACUCCUCAAUUUUCAAAGCCAACAAUACUGUCCUAGCCUGAAUCCUGUAAUGGAAAUUAUCUCAGUUUGAUACCUGUUCUCCCUGGAAAAUCAGAGUCCUCAAAAGUACUAAGUCUACUAAAGUCUCAAUAGCAACAGAACAUUCUACAUUUGAGAGCUAUAACUGAAAAUGAUUUAGAAAAAUGCACUUUUUCUCCAUUUUCCUGGAACUUGCCUAAGCCUCCUCACAGGAGAUGGGAACCUUCCAGAAAUCCGUGGAAAAAUAAAAAGUAAAGUUCUGAAGAUGGAGGAGGAAACAACAAGGUAUUACUUUCCCAGCUGGAUAGCAGAAGAGCAAGAGAGGAGAGAUUAAGCACAGUUAGUGCUCUUCCCACUUUCUCCUUUCUGCUGCUGUAGGUACAGCAGCAGAUCCAGGGAAGCAUAAUUUCAGAGACAAGCUUUG